UGGGUUUGACAUCCUACGGACCUGGUGGAGACACUGGGGUGACCUUUGGGGAGCGUAGAGAC
rnacentral:rRNA from 1 species